UACGUAGGGGGCAAGCGUUGUCCGGAAUCAUUGGGCGUAAAGCGCUUGUAGGCGGCCAGAAAAGUCCGCUGUGAAAACUCGAGGCUCAACCUCGAGCUGUCGGUGGAAACUUUCUGGCUAGAGUCCGGAAGAGGAGAAUGGAAUUCCUGGUGUAGCGGUGAAAUGCGCAGAUAUCGGGAAGAACACCCGUGGCGAAGGCGGCACUCUGGGACGGUACUGACGCUGAGACGCGAAAGCGUGGGGAGCGAACAGG
rnacentral:rRNA from 1 species